UGCUUAUAGCUACGUUAAAACACUGGUUCCCGUAUGAUCACCGAAGUUAAGCAACAUCGAUUCUGGUCAAAACCUAGACUGGUAACCGCUUGAGAAUACCAGGUGCUGUAAG